rnacentral:snoRNA from 1 species
UGGUGAUGAAACGAAACUAAAAUAGCUGGAAUUACCGGCAGAUUGUUUGGUGUUGAUCAAUAGUUUUCUGAAC